GAGUUUGAUCCUGGCUCAGAGCGAACGCUGGCGGCAUGCCUAACACAUGCAAGUCGUGCGGGGGGUUUCGGCCCCCAGCGGCGGACGGGUGAGUAUCGCGUAGGAACGUGUCCUGAGGUGGGGAACAACCCCGGGAAACUGGGGCUAAUGCCGCAUGUCCCCUUCGGGGAAAGCCUUCGGCGCCUUGGGAGCGGCCUGCGUCCGAUUAGCUAGUUGGUGGGGUAACGGCCUACCAAGGCAGCGAUCGGUAGCUGGUCUGAGAGGACGAUCAGCCACACUGGGACUGAGACACGGCCCAGACUCCUACGGGAGGCAGCAGUGGGGAAUAUUGGGCAAUGGGCGAAAGCCUGACCCAGCAAUGCCGCGUGGGUGAAGAAGGUCUUCGGAUUGUAAAGCCCUUUCGGCGGGGACGAUGAUGACGGUACCCGCAGAAGAAGCCCCGGCUAACUUCGUGCCAGCCGCCGCCGUAAC
rnacentral:rRNA from 1 species